rnacentral:pre_miRNA from 1 species
UUGACUUAUUAGAGAAUCCAUCUUGCAAAAUUGAAGAAUUCGAAGACUUAAACUUGCAAACUUGAUUGAUUUGAGGGUUCAACU